rnacentral:misc_RNA from 1 species
CCAAACUUGGUCAUUUAGAGGAAGUAAAAGUCGUAACAAGGUUUCCGUAGGUGAACCUGCGGAAGGAUCAUUAACGAGUGAAGGUCUAUUCUAGGCCCUACCUCCCAACCCACUGUUUAUUGAACCUCUUGUUGCUUCGGCGAGCCGGUCCCUUCGGGGAUCGCCCGGUCCUUCCGGGCUUGUGCUCGCCGAUAGCCUCAACCAUCAAACUCUUGAUCAAAUCAUGCGUAGCAUCUUGUCUGAGUACAGAAAACAAAAUAAAAGCAAAAAACUUUCAACAACGGAUCUCUUGGUUCUGGCAUCGAUGAAGAACGCAGC